rnacentral:rRNA from 1 species
UACGAAGGGGGCUAGCGUUGCUCGGAAUUACUGGGCGUAAAGCGCACGUAGGCGGCUUCUUAAGUCGGUGGUGAAAUCCUGGAGCUCAACUCCAGAACUGCCUUCGAUACUGGGAGCUCGAGUCCGGGAGAGGUGAGUGGAACUGCGAGUGUAGAGGUGAAAUUCGUAGAUAUUCGCAAGAACACCAGUGGCGAAGGCGGCUCACUGGCCCGGUACUGACGCUGAGGUGGCGAAAGCGGUGGGGAGCAAACAGGA